rnacentral:rRNA from 1 species
CCUACGGCGUGCAGCAGUGGGGAAUUUUGGACAAUGGGCGCAAGCCUGAUCCAGCAAUGCCGCGUGCAGGACGAAGGCCUUCGGGUUGUAAACUGCUUUUGUACGGAGCGAAACGGUCUGGGUUAAUACCCUGGGCUAAUGACGGUACCGUAAGAAUAAGCACCGGCUAACUACGUGCCAGCAGCCGCGGUAAUACGUAGGGUGCGAGCGUUAAUCGGAAUUACUGGGCGUAAAGCGUGCGCAGGCGGUUUUGUAAGACAGGCGUGAAAUCCCCGGGCUCAACCUGGGAAUGGCGCUUGUGACUGCAAAGCUGGAGUGCGGCAGAGGGGGAUGGAAUUCCGCGUGUAGCAGUGAAAUGCGUAGAUAUGCGGAGGAACACCGAUGGCGAAGGCAAUCCCCUGGGCCUGCACUGACGCUCAUGCACGAAAGCGUGGGGAGCAAACAGGAUUAGAUACCCGGGUAGUCC